ensembl:snRNA U6 U6 spliceosomal RNA
GUACAAGGCACAUAUACUAAAAUUGGAAUGAUACAAAGAAGAUUACCAUGCCCUUGUGCAAGGAUGACACACAAAUUCAUGAAGCGUUCCAUAUUUUU